UGGGGAAUUUUGGACAAUGGACGAANNUCUGAUCCAGCCAUGCCGCGUGCGGGAAGAAGGCCUUCGGGUUGUAAACCGCUUUUGUCAGGGAAGAAAUCCUUUGAGCUAAUACCUCGGGGGGAUGACGGUACCUGAAGAAUAAGCACCGGCUAACUACGUGCCAGCAGCCGCGGUAAUACGUAGGGUGCAAGCGUUAAUCGGAAUUACUGGGCGUAAAGCGUGCGCAGGCGGUUAUGUAAGACAGAGGUGAAAUCCCCGGGCUCAACCUGGGAACUGCCUUUGUGACUGCAUAGCUUGAGUGCGGCAGAGGGGGAUGGAAUUCCGCGUGUAGCAGUGAAAUGCGUAGAUAUGCGGAGGAACACCGAUGGCGAAGGCAAUCCCCUGGGCCUGCACUGACGCUCAUGCACGAAAGCGUGGGGAGCAAACAGGAUUAGAUACCCUGGUAGUCCACGCCCUAAACGAUGUCAACUGGUUGUUGGGAAGGUUCCUUCUCAGUAACGUAGCUAACGCGUGAAGUUGACCGCCUGGGGAGUACGGCCGCAAGGUUG
rnacentral:rRNA from 1 species